rnacentral:rRNA from 1 species
AUUGAACGCUGGCGGCAGGCCUAACACAUGCAAGUCGAACGAGUGGCGGACGGGUGAGUAAUGUCUGGGAAACUGCCCGAUGGAGGGGGAUAACUACUGGAAACGGUAGCUAAUACCGCAUACCAUCGGAUGUGCCCAGAUGGGAUUAGCUAGUAGGUGGGGUAAAGGCUCACCUAGGCGACGAUCCCUAGCUGGUCUGGGAGGAUGAACGGGCAAAAUGGGACGUAGGAAAGGCCCAGAAGCCUACGGGAGGGAGGAGUGGGGAAACGUCCGACAUGGGCGAAAGGCUGAAGGAGCAAAGCCGGCGGAGUGAUGAAGGCCCUCGGGUUGGAAAGCUCGUUAAGCGGGAAGACGGUACCGGAAUAGAAAGCAACGGCUAACUACGUGCCAGCAGCCGCGGUAAUAC